AAAGGGAAAAGGGUGUGUGAUGUUGGGAGCUGGCCUUCUUGAUGUCACAGGCAGUAAGGGCAUGCCUCCUGUAACCACCUCUGUGUUUUUCAGGCGUGCAUGGCUGUGCCUCAGCGAAUUGCUGAACAGACCAACUUAGCCAAACAAUCAAGUCUGUUCAGAGGAGGACAUUAAUGGGAAGUGAGUGGGCAUGUAAUCGUAUAGUCAGAACAAUAAGUUGGAAGAGCUUUGCUUUUGCUUUUCUCCAAUUGUUGUUUUCACAGUCCGCCUGGCACAGAAGCUGGCUCAGAUGGGGUCUGGUCUGGCCCCGACCCACGUUCGGGCGCCCCUUGCCGCUUCCAGUCAGCGACGAGAGAAGAAUUAGGCACAAACAAGCCAACCACAAGAGACUGGGAGCAGGGGACAACAGUCGAAAAGGACUGCUGCCACGAGCAACGCCACCGUCUCACUUUUAUUGGGUAGAAACAAUAGCCAACAGGAGGAUUGAUGAAGGUCAAACGUUAAUCCCAUCUUGCAGACGAGCAAGGAGGAGGAUAAAGUUUAUAGUUAAACAAGCACAUUCAAAGGACUCCUCUAACUAAUAAUGGGCGCUUCUGGGAAGAGAAAGGAGCGAUAAGGGAUAAGGGAAGCAGGCGGUUUUCGGCCCACCCUGAGCUGACCCGGAGCUCUAGGGUGCUCGGCUUCCCUGAAGCAGGCGGCGUUCUGCCCUGGGCGGGCCGGGCGUUCCCAGCUGCCCAGCUUCGUGGUCAUACAUCGUCCUUCUCCCCAAAGACCUGUUAUCAGUAUAUGUAUUUCUUAAGGCCAUAUCUAAAUGUGCUUGGCAACUAGUAAAAUCCUCCAGGGGUUACAGUUUAAGUAACCAAUUGUUCCGAGGGGCAGCAGCAGCCAUGUUACCCCAGGGUCCCAGGACUUUGUGCCAGCUCCUGCCCGCUCCUGACAUGGGAAGCAACUGUUCUCAUGAAGGGAUGAUUUGAGGAGAUCAGCAGUCUUGUAUCUAGCCUUCACCCUUUUCCUGCCCCAACCUAGGAUUCAUGCCAAGGUCGGGCUGGAGAAAGGAAGAGAAUGUUCUGGGAGAGUCUUUCCAUACUGAGGCUUCUGUGGAAUCUUUUAUAUUCCUUCAUUUCUACCUCUUUCUCUGUCUUCCCUUCGUCUUCCCUUAUGCCUUCAUUCCUUUCCUCAUUCAUUCAUUCAUGGGCAGGACAUGCAAGUUGUGAGGUCUGUCCCCAUUCCAGGGAGAAUCUAGUGUAGGUUCUAGUCGGGGCUUUAGGAAAUGAUUCUGAGCGCAAGCGAGAGAGGGAAAGCAUCACAUGAAAAUGUAAACUUUUUAAAGAAAAGAUUUUAUUUAUUUAUUUGACAGAGAGAGAGAGAGAGACAGCAAGAGAGGGAACUCCAGGAGAGGGAGUGGGAGAGGGAGAAGCAGGCUUCCCACUGAGCAGGGAGCCUGAUGUGGGGCUUGAUCCCAGGACUCUGGGAUCAGGAUCUGAGCCGAACGAAGGCAGAUGCUUAAUGACUGAGCCACCCAGGCACUCCUAAAUUUUUUUUGAAUUAAGGAAAACUAUCAACAGUGAUGCUAUUUAGAUG
ensembl:lncRNA